UGUCAAAAACACUUUACAGAUGAACAUAGAAAACAGAAGGAAAUAAUUAUUCUAAAAUAUGUUACUGUAAACAGAAACGGCAUCAUGUGUAAAUCAAUAAUGAGAAUUUGUGAAUCAGUUUAGGAUGGUGGUGUGAAACUGUACAGGGCUGUACACGUCAGGGAAAAGAUGAAGGCAAGAAACAUUAAAUAUAAUGAGUGUUUGGUUGGUAGUGAAUGGCAAUGUGUGUGUGACAGACGAUCUCAGUAUUAGAUUAUAGAUGUGUGGUGGUGGCGCACACAGUGCUUCAGACACUAGAACAGCAGACACUGAGCUUAUUUACAGGAGUUUCACAACAACCCAGCAGAGACAAAAAAAUCAGACCAACAAACCAAACCAAACCUCAUCAACGAGCAUACAGAGUGUGUGUUCAACAUGUGUACCACACGCAAACACACUGCACAUAUCUGAACACAAGCAUAGCAGGAAUUAUCAGAGUCACAGGAUCAUGUGUUCAUCCAGAAUCAGAAAUCAGCAUUGAGGGAAAAAGAGUCAGUGAAUGCAGAGAAACACCUGCGUCAUCAUUAUACAGACUCUGCUGCUGUGUGAAAACAGGAUACAAAUAAAAUAUAUGUAGUAAAUUACACACCGAGGGCAGUAAACAGAAGACAGAGAAGGGGAUUCAGCUUCUCAAUAUCUGUAUUAAUGCUAACCCAUUUCUGAAAAAGAGGGAACAACUCAAAGGUAAACACACACAUGGUCACAUAUUAAAAUAACUGAGGCAGAUUUCCAGGAUUAUAGAGGGAGCAGUUGACUUUUAAUACUCAUAUCCAAAACGGAUUAGAUAAAUGUAAAAAGGGAUGAAUGUAAUGGGGUGAAGCCAUCAUUUAACAGAUCAGGAGAUCAGCAAUAGCUUACAGCAGUUCAAUAUACAGCUCUGCUUCUCAAACCGGCCUUAAACAAUGAAAACUAUUGAAAACACACUGUAGGAUCAUUUCUGGAGCUUUCCAGACAUCUUUAUUUUGGCAUGUUGUGCUAACAGAAAGAGAAAGCAGAGUAUUUAGUGAAAGAGACUCUAAAGGAGUCAGAUGUGGGCUUCAGGAUGUGUCUUCAUACAAAAUGAGGAAACACAAAUGAAAGCUGUUAUUGUGGACUGAAACACUCUCACGUAUAUUAGUGUAAUGUCAACAACAAAUAUGCCAGCAGUUUCAGUCACUAAAGAUUGGGGUGGGAAAACCCUUUCACUGUUAGAUUGCAGAAAAGCAAAAAGCAAAAAGACAAUGGUAACAUAAUGUUGCAGAAGAGAUGAAACAGAUUAGAUCUCCCCGUCCCUCCAGUCCUCAUUGUGUGAAACUAAGCUGCACUUCCCCCUCCAGUCCAGUAGGUGGCAGAAUCUGCACCUUUACACUGUUUGCCAAACACCAGUAAACAGAAGAAGAAAGUUGUUGAAAACGCCUCAUCUUAAACCCUUCAGAAACCCUGCUGUUUCCAGCUCUCAGAUAAGACCAGUGUCUGAUGAUCUUGUGUAAAUGAUUGUCUGUGCAAAUGAUGUGGAGUUUUGUUGAUUAGUCUUUAAUGAGGUUAUUGGUUUGUGGAGGCUUGUGUUUAUACUGUAACUCUUAUAUUUGUCUGAGAACAUGUUAAAGAUGAAGCAGCAUCUGUCUAGUGCAAUAUCACAGCUGAGCAAGAAGACAAGCACAAGAAUAAAAUCCCCACAUCCUCUCCAUCAGCUCAUCUACAGAUCAGAUCAGUGAAGCGAGUGAUCAGCUGUAACUCACGGCCUGUUUGUUGGCUGAGUGUUAGAGAAAUGAUGGCGAAUACACCACAGCUCUGUGUUUAAUCUGUCUCAGAUACCAUCAAGCAGAUCUAUAAUAGUGGAGGAACCCUUUCUGCUUACCUGGUGAUGCUGACCGGCCGAGAGGAGCAGGAGAGAACACACGGACAGGUGAACCGCUGAGCAAACACUGGAGGAGAAACACACAGAGAGGCUGUGAUUGCGGUGCAGGUCAGUGUAAUCCUGCAGAGUGUACCUGCGGUGGAGUGUGAUGCUGAGCAUGGAAACCCUACAGAUGUAGAAAUCCUGCUUCAGCUUGCUCUCCUCGCUUCAUUUAACAGUAGUGGUGGGCAAAGUGACGCUUCAUGAAACUGAAACAGUUGAAGCAAAUGUGUCAAAGCUUUGAAACGUUUCGAAACUCUACAGUGACACCUAGGGGUAAUUUUUUAUACAUUGCUCUGGAGCAGCUUCAGCAAAGAACAAUUGAGCAAAUUGAGGUAUUAAAACCCACUUUGUACCUUUGAACCUACAAGUGUUAUAGCAGAGCGGUCAGAGUUCCUGACUAUUAUGCAGGGAAACUGGGUUCGAAUCCAGGCAAAUGCAGGUAUGUUGAAAUGCUCUGUUCUUGUAUUGUUUUGUUUCAACAUUGGUCAGACAUCAGAAUAAACACUAUUUGUGAAU